rnacentral:tmRNA from 2 species
GGGGACGUAAUGGUUUCGACGGGGGUAGUUGGUGCAUAGGUAGCGAGUCGGGGGGUCAUCAACCCGUUAGUAAGGUGAACCUUUUAUAUUAAAUAUAAAAGCUAACGAAGAUUACGCUUUAGCAGCUUAAUGCUAACCUCUCUCAGUCUAAUCCCGCGGGACUGAACAGGGGCAAAUAGUGGGAUACCUGAGAGCCAAUUCUCGGAGGCUUGACUGGGAAAUUUUAUCGAGAUCGAACCAAUGAAGCCAGUUUGUGAGCGUCGGCGGUUUUAAAUUUAAAACACAAAAUGCACUCGGAGAAGCCUAUGAAACAAUACUUUCGGACAGGAGUUCGAUUCUCCUCGUCUCCACCA